ACUCAACACCUACAAAUUAAAAAAGGGUAAGAGGAGUUGUUAAAGCGCGCCGUCAUUGAACGGAUACUUGACCGGCUCAGUAGCCCUAAACCUGUUUUUGGAGUUU
rnacentral:sRNA from 1 species